UACCAGCACCCCGAGUGGUCGGGACGAUUAUUGGGCCUAAAGCAUCCGUAGCCGGUUCUACAAGUCUUCCGUUAAAUCCACCUGCUUAACAGAUGGGCUGCGGAGGAUACUAUAGAGCUAGGAGGCGGGAGAGGUAAGCGGUACUUAGUGGGUAGGGGUAAAAUCCGUUGAUCCAUUGAAGACCACCAGUGGCGAAGGCGGCUUGCCAGAACGCACUCGACGGUGAGGGAUGAAAGCUGGGGGAGCAAACCGG
rnacentral:rRNA from 1 species